CCCUAGUAACGGCGAGUGAAGCGGCAACAGCUCAAAUUUGAAAUCUGGCCUCACGGUCCGAAUUGUAAUUUGUAGAGGGUGCUUCGGGUGCGAUUCCGGUCUAAGUUCCUUGGAACAGGGCGUCAUAGAGGGUGAGAAUCCCGUACGUGACCGGCCGUCAACCCCAUGUGAAGCCCCUUCGACGAGUCGAGUUGUUUGGGAAUGCAGCUCAAAAUGGGUGGUAAAUUUCAUCUAAAGCUAAAUACCGGCCAGAGACCGAUAGCGCACAAGUAGAGUGAUCGAAAGAUGAAAAGCACUUUGGAAAGAGAGUUAAAAAGUAUGUGAAAUUGUUGAAAGGGAAGCGCUCGCAGCCAGACUCGUCCGCGGAUGAUCAACCGCGGGCCAGCAUCGGUUUCGGCGGCCGGACAAAGGUCCAGGGAACGUAGCUCCUCUCGGGGAGUGUUAUAGCCCGGGGCGUAAUGCGGCCAGCCGGGACCGAGGACCGCGCUUU
rnacentral:rRNA from 1 species